UCUAUCUCUAAGCCCCAGAAAAAAAUCCAACACACGGACGAGGAGUUCAUCAAAUUGACCAUGAAAGUGACCGUCUUUAUUCUUUAUUGCCGAUUACAGGCAACAUUAUCGGGAACAUAUACUGCAGUCGGCUCCGAAAGUCCCCAAAAUUGGUUUCUUGCACGGAUUGAUGUUCAAUAAUAUCUACCCAUUUCAUCCGAUGAAAUACUCAAGAACUUGAUGUAGAUAAUAAAAAUUAUGAUUGUGCAAUGAUA